GAUGAACGCUGGCGGCGUGCCUAAUACAUGCAAGUCGAGCGAACAGACGAGGAGCUUGCUCCUCUGACGUUAGCGGCGGACGGGUGAGUAACACGUGGAUAACCUACCUAUAAGACUGGGAUAACUUCGGGAAACCGGAGCUAAUACCGGAUAAUAUAUUGAACCGCAUGGUUCAAUAGUGAGAGACGGUUUUGCUGUCACUUAUAGAUGGAUCCGCGCCGCAUUAGCUAGUUGGUAAGGUAACGGCUUACCAAGGCAACGAUGCGUAGCCGACCUGAGAGGGUGAUCGGCCACACUGGAACUGAGACACGGUCCAGACUCCGACGGGAGGCAGCAGUAGGGAAGCUUCCGCAAUGGGCGAAAGCCUGACGGAGCAACGCCGCGUGAGUGAUGAAGGUCUUCGGAUCGUAAAACUCUGUUAUUAGGGAAGAACAAAUGUGUAAGUAACUAUGCACGUCUGGACGGUACCUAAGCAGAAAGCCACGGCUAACUACGU
rnacentral:rRNA from 1 species